rnacentral:rRNA from 1 species
GACGAACGCUGGCGGCGUGCUUAACACAUGCAAGUCGAACGGAAAGGCCCUGCUUUUGUGGGGUGCUCGAGUGGCGAACGGGUGAGUAACACGUGAGUAACCUGCCCUUGACUUUGGGAUAACUUCAGGAAACUGGGGCUAAUACCGGAUAGGAGCUCCUGCUGCAUGGUGGGGGUUGGAAAGUUUCGGCGGUUGGGGAUGGACUCGCGGCUUAUCAGCUUGUUGGUGGGGUAGUGGCUUACCAGGGCUUUGACGGGUAGCCGGCCUGAGAGGGUGACCGGCGACAUUGGGACUGAGAUACGGCGCAGACUCCUACGGGAGGCAGCAGUGGGGAGUAUUGCACAAUGGGCGGAAGCCUGAUGAAGCAACGCCGCGUGCGUGAUGACGUCCUUCGGGUGGUAAACCGAUUUCGCCUGUGACGAAGCGUGAGUGACGGUAAUGGGUAAAGAAGCACCGGCUAACUACGUG